rnacentral:lncRNA from 9 species
UGCUGCUAUGUCAACUAGGACGCCGCAGGUUGAAUGCUGAACAUUUCCCAUAGAAUGAAAUAUGACCCAGCCAGGGUUUAUUUCUGUCCAAAGUCACGAGUUGUCUUUCAGGGUGAUUUUCAUUCUUUUCGAUGAAGAAUCUACACUUGGGAUGAUAUUAGUUGUGGGAUACUAGGGAUUAAAAGAAUAAAACCCUGAUGGAAAAACAUUAGAAUGUGGAAACUCUAAGGGUGGUAAUUAAUCUAAAUGCUUGCAUCACAGAGAAAGUCCCAUGUCUAUGUAUGCCUUUCAUUGUACUUAUUUGAACAUAUCUUCUUUGAUUUUAAAACAACCCAUGCUCUUAAUAAAAUGCAACAGAGAGUGCAGCCUCCUGAAGUCACCUCACUGCUGAAUGACUUCAUCCAUUUAUCGACCAUGAGACUGAAUUCUGGGCAGCCCUAGUUGCUUAUCUUUGGCCAUUUGUUAUGCUUUCUAUAUGAAGGUAGAAAUAAGGUGUCUCUUUAGAACAUGUAUUUUUCCAUCCAUAAAUAUUGGCUGUAUCUCGUGCUUUGAAGGGAGGCUACCUCUCUGUAAACCUCUCCCAGUCCUAAACAGCAGGUGACAGACCAAGGUCUAUCACCACUUUCUCACUUUAUCAGUUUAUUUUUUUCCAAUCCUUUCUUCCUUAAAACCCUUAUCCUACUUGAUGUCCAUGUAGAAUGAUCCCCUACCACCAUUCUUCUAACUACUGCUAGUUCUCUGAGUUCUCUGUUCUGUUAGUGAAACUUGAGUGUGAAAUAUUUUAUUCUAAAACAAACCUGAUAGUAUGGCAGGUAUCCACUUUGCAAAAACAAAAUGUAAGCAAAUUUGGGAGAUCAAAACCCGUCAUUGAUCCAAAUGGUCAUUCAGAUGUGUACAGGGGAAAUCUGAAUCUCAGCCUGAGGAGCCUCUCAGGCCAGAAACCUUCUGUCUGAGUUCCCUGCUCCUCCUCUUCUGUGCCUCCCUAUCCCCAGCCCAGCACCAGAUGGGACUGGAACUAGUGACUUGGGACAUUAACCUCCUUUUUAUUUUUUUUUUUUUUUCGUCUGUGCCUGGGGCAUAGAGAAGUUCCUGGACCAGGGAUCAAACCCAAGCCACAGCAAUGACAAUGCAGAAUUCUUAAUCAUUAGAUUACCACGGAACUCCUCACCCAGGUUUUUGACAAAUUAACUUAGUUUAGUUAUACUAUAAAUAAAAUAAAGCCAUGAUCUAACAUCAUAUAGGCUGUAAAGCACAAAAGAAUUAUUGCCCGAAGGUUUUUUUGAUGUUUUGAUUAUUGUUCUAGAAUUUUGCAGGCCCAUUUCUAACCAGACAAAGGGAAGGAGCUAUGCCUCAUUAGAGACAUUCCUGUUGCUUUCUCAGCACCAGGGUUCGAGUUAAAUGAUUAAGUCGCUGCUUUGCCUCUUGCUGAUUCCAGUGACCUCAGACAAAGACUUCCAUAAGCCCUUCUGCACCAACUUUUAAGGGCAUGGGUAAUGAUUCUUAUCUCACAGGACUAUUGUGAAGGUCCAAAGAGAUCACAGGCAUCAAAGCCCUGAAUAGAAGGCUUAAUUCAUAGGAGGUGUUCAGUACAUGUUUUUCCUUGUAUGUAACUUUGCUUGUUUCCACGCUCUUCCUACAAUGGUAUCAAAGAAACCUUGAAAAGGGAUUAUUAUCAAAACUAACCUGCCAACAGGUAGGCAAGAUAUAAGUCUGUGCCUGCCCUUGGGCAAGUCAUUUAUUUAUUCAUCACUAAUUUGUCUUUUCUCCAUUUCCAGCCCAGAUGGGUUAUUUAGAGCCAUUGGGAACUAAUGGGAAAAUGAAAGGCAUUGCUGUCAUUAUUGCUCUGGUGUCAUGAGGUCUCAUGCAGGAAAAUUUGAGAGAGGAAAAGAAU